AUAUAAAUUGCAAUCCAUUAGACAGGAAGUGUCCCCCAAAAUGUCAGCUACAGGAGGAAAGACCAUAGUGAAGGGCUGUUUGGAUCUGCAAAAGUUGUCAAUACUGACCAGUCUUAUCUUCCAUGAUGAGUAUUAAAGGGUGGGUGAUGGGCCCAUUGCAGGAUCUUCGUCCUAUGCUGAUGAUGAAGUUGGUGCUUGUGGUGCAACUGGGGAUGGUGAUAUCAUGAUGCGUUUCCUUCCAUGCUAUCAAGUUGUGGAGAGUAUGCGACUGGGGAUGGAGCCAAAGCUUGCUGCCCAAGAUGCCAUAAAGCGAAUUGCAAGAAAAUUUCCAGAUUUUGUUGGGGCAGUUUUGGCCAUCAAUAAGAAUGGUCUGCAUGCUGGUGCUUGCCAUGGAUGGACAUUUCAAUACUCAGUGAGAAGCCCGGAAAUGGAGGAUGUGGAGGUAUUCACUGUAUUCCCCUGAAAUAGCAACUGCCUGCAAUUAUGAAAAGCCUAAUGAGUUGGUUGUGCAAUAUUAUUGAUUAUUGUUGAUGAUUUUGGCACCGUUUUUAUUUGGCUAAUAAUACAAAAUUGAUGUAAUUUCCAAUGUUAUUAGACACCUGUAUUUGUAGAAGAUACUUUUUGGUAUCUAUAUGUUUUAAUUGUUCAUAAA